rnacentral:lncRNA from 1 species
CAGCAGGUAAAGUCCAGGAUGGCUGCCCCAGAACCCCAGAAAGAGCUGCCAAGGGAGGCUUCUCUUAGGUUAACAGGAAAUUGUAAUGACAUUUACAAAGGCUGGGUUGUCCCUGCAAAGAUAAUCCAUUGAUACAUAAUAUCUGUUAAAAGCUGCUCAAAAAUUUUCACUUCAAACAUAGAUUUUUUUUUUUUUUUUUGUCAAUUCAAGCGAGGUAUCAUUUACUUUGUUUUGAUAAAAGGCCUCCUAGCUUCUACUAAUUGAGGACAUGGCAGUGUAGCUGGUGGAAGAACAUCUCCUUGUAAGUGUCAGAUACAAAGAGGACUCAGCAUCCAAACAUCCAAAAGGCAAAUCCUUAGAUAAUUCUAGCAGUAGACGAUGCACGCACAAACAUUUCAUCCUUUGAAGCAAUUUCAUUAGGGCAAGCUAGCCUUGACAACAUUAACUGGAUCACAUUGUUUUCACAGUGAGUAUGUGGUACUGGGUUGAGGAUGAACUUGCUUUCAAAUCUGAUUAAUGAUUUUGUGAGGUCAGGCAGGGGUUCCCUUCCUUCAUUGUCAUUUCACCUCUGCGCAGAGAGCUGGCCCUGUGCCAUCGCUUGCGACCUCUUCUUUGGUGCUUCUGCUAAUCUGCAAGCAGGGCCCCCGCCAAUGGAAUGUUUUCAGGUCAACUCAUGUAACAGGUGAGUUUAGUAUAAUGAUUAUAGACCUUUCUCAGUAAUAUGUUCACUUAUUGAAUUAGAAUUUGUCUGUCUCAUUUUGCCUUCUAUUUAGGUAAGAGACAAUAAAUGGAACUCAAGUUUUUUAUUACCAUGCAAAUGGUAGAAUUAAGGACCUACAGAAGGCUCUACAGUCCGACUUAGGGCAGCUGAAACCUCAUGACCGCUACUUUCUCUGUCCAGUAGCCAAGUUGUAUAUUGAAAAAAAUAGAUUCUUUCUUGCUUGCUUGCUUGCUUGCUUGCUUGCUUGCUUGCUUUUGAUGGCCACAACUGCAGCAUAAGGAGGUUCCCAGGGUAAGGGUCAAAUCAGAGCCAUAGUCGCUAGCCUACAGCCACAGCAAUGUGGGAUCCAAGCCACGUCUGUGACCUACACCACAGCGCACAGCAACGCCAGAUUCUUAACCCACUGAGCAAGGCCAAGGAUCGAACCCACAUCCUCAUGGUUCCUAGUCAGGUUCGUUAACCACUGAGCCACGAAGGGAACUCCUAGAUGUUAUAUUUCUAUCUGAGCACAUUUUAGAAAUUAUUCCCCUCCCCCGUUUUGAUUUUUUUUUUAACUCUGGCAAGUUUAGAGAAAAAAAAAUGUGAAAUUUUUGAUAAAUUCUGAGCAAAGGAAAACAUGAUAAAUUAAAUGUAUAAAUACCAUAACUUUAGCAAUUUCAAAUCAUUGUAAAUGACCUAAAAGUAAAUUUAAUACACAGUAUAAAAUAAGUAACCCAUUGUCUAACAGAAAAAAUAGUGAUUUAAUUAAACAAUAUUAUGAAAAGCAACUCUAUUGAAAAUCUAAUGUUGUAUCUUAUGAUAGAACAAAAUGCAUGUUCCUUUUGGACCUAAAGUUUCUCUAUGAAAAGUAGCGUCACUUGCUUAAAGCCUCAUAGUCUACCUGGAUGAGAUAAUAUGACCCAUUGAAGGUCAAUUUUCUGUAACAACCCUGCUGCCAAAAACUGAAAUGACAGCUGUUUGCACAGAAUGUAGUUAAGGAGCAAAGACGGAAGAAACUUAUUUUGAAUAAAAUACAAAACUAUCCUUGAACUAAGUAAGUAGGAGUACUGGCAACUGUUAGUCUUGUGAAAGAUAAGAUUAUGUCAGAAUUUAUUUUUCAAUUGUCUUCAGUUUUCCAAAAGAGAGCCUGCUGCAUGGAGGGGUUUGUCGAAGUCUACACAUUACAACUUAAGUGUGCCAAAAAAGCUACUUUCUUUGCCUCCCAGAACUGAUUGCACUUGGCCCUGGAGCCGUAUGCUCACUGAUGGGGUUGGAGGUUGGAGAGGCACUUAAAUAUGUCCCUUCAAGGUCAUUGAGCUCUUUCUAUUGAAACAGACACGCACUCUUGCUUUUUCUUUGUUUUCUGGGGUUUUUUAAAAUGGUAUAUUUAAUGUCAUUUUUGUACCUCUUAGUUUUGUAACUGCUCUGUCCUUCAGCAUUUCAUCUCAAAGCACUCGCCUUCAUCCUCAAGUGCUUAGCUUUCUGAUACCGUCUUUGCUGAGUCCCUGCUGAGGUCUUGCUACCUCUUCUUCAACAACAAGUGCUUAUCCUCGCUCCUUCCUCUACCCAAGAAACACACAAACCGUUCUCUUAGCACAGGCAGCACUCAUCGGAGGCUCCGAGGGAAGUUCUGCAGUCCUUCUCUACUGACCAGGGUCCCAUAAUGAAGUUUGACUGAGGUUCUCACCGACAGAAAACCAGCCAUGCAUCUCUUGGGAUGUGAACCCCUCCUGAUGCUUCUGCUGCAUGGCACUAGCUCCUCACCAGUGCCCAUCUCUGGAGGGCAGACUACUCUUAGUUCUAAGCUGCUGUGCUCUGCCUCUCAGAGACUGGUGGAAAUAUCUACAUUUAUUCCAUUACCUACACGGCCACUGGCCCUUGAAGUGGAAAUGGGAGCUUCUGUCCCCGGACCCAUCAUGGCUCAAUCGCAGGAUCUCCAUUUGUAAUUUACUGCAGCCACUCUAAUAGAUGACUUCUUUUUUUCUUUUUCAUUUUUUUCAUAAGGCAGUAAGAGUGACAAGCAACCCCAUCCUACCCCCAGCUGCAGAGUUUCAAGGAAGUAUAAGCAGAAAGUAAGUAGGAAAUUCACUGAUCGCUUUUCUUUACACUUUUCAUCCUUUCAGCAAUGAGAUGAAAUAUAUAUAUAUAUAUAUUUGCUGAAAGGUCAGAUCUGUUUCUUUUUAUCUCUACCAAGUGUGCAAAGUGACCUCUUGGUAUUAUCUUUGUUCAGUGUUUGGAAUUUCAGUUUACAUGUAUCACUGUCAAUCUAUUUACUAAUGUUAUUUCAUGAAAUUAUUCAUUGCCGUUCCUUUCAGUUAUUUGGAUUUGGUUCACUGGCGACGCAUAAAUCAAAAUGUACACACUCUGAUUCCUUGGGAUUCCUCAUGAGUGGCUGAACCUGUGAUUGUCAUUAUCCAUUGUAGUUAAGAUUCUUUUAUAAAUUGUGUUUCUUCUUUCUAACAUCCUAAAAUCAGUUCUAUGUUAUCUUAGGAAUGGCUCCAUUGGCAAAUUGCAGUGUAGUAAAUCUCUUUUCUGACUCUUCCUGAUUGGGGAGCUCUUUGCUCUGGGCCAGUGUGGUGAUGGGCGAAGGACUUGAAUCCAGGCAGCUAUCACACUGGUUUGAAAUUAAGAUUGUAUCCAAGGUGAGAGCAUUUUUUGUUUUUGGGUAACUAAUAUGGAGCAAUUAUAUAUGAUGUGUAACAUCGUAACAUGUACCCUUGCCCUGUAUUUUGCUAAUCAAUGUAACCUUUACUUUUAAAAAGCAGAUUUGUUGGUACUCAGAUAUCUCUUUGUUGUACAGUCAUUCCACUUAUUUACAGCAUGUUUAAAUUAAAGGUAAAGCAUUAUAUCCAAGAGAAAGACAAAGUUUUGUAAAGAG